rnacentral:sRNA from 1 species
AAAGAAAAGGAGAAUAUUCCAUUAUCAUCAUCAAUAUCAUCUCUAUCCCAUAUGAUACCAUCAUGGGCAUAGUUAAUGGAAAUCUCAUACUUUUCUCUAUCGUCCCGAGGACUUGGUUCUUCUUGAAGAACCUUUUCAUUUUCUUCUCCCAAUUUCUUUUUCUUUCGCGGAUUUUUAUCUUUUGAGCCAAUAGGCCUCCCACGCUUUAAUUGAACCUUAGGUUCAUUAAUUUUGCUCCCAUCUAAUUUCAGCUCACUAGGAAUUUCAAUUCUUGAUGGGGUAUUUGCAGCGGGGAUAUAUGACUUUGUCACCUUUUUUGUAUCGGUGAACGAAUCUGGUAAUUGAUUUGCCAUGUUUUGUAAAUGUACAAUCUUUUGUACUUCCAGCUCAGGAUGCUUCGUGGGGGGAUCAAGAUAUUUUAAAGAUGGUGCGCACCAUUCUAUAUCUUUAUGCAUAUGCAUUUGAUGAAUUCUUCCCCCUAAAGCUGGGAAUUCAUCUUCACUAAAAUGGUAAUCGGCAAAACGUGCCGUAAACAAAUCACCAGUUUGUGGUUCAAGAUACCUUAUUAUACUCGGUGAUACAUAACCAACGUAUAUUCCCAAUCUCCUUUGGGGCCCCAUUUUUGUUCUUUGUGGCGGUGUUAUAGGCACGUAUACCGCACAUCCAAAAAUGCGGAGAUGGGAUAAAUUUGGUACUUGACCAUAAGUCAUUUGUAAAGGGGAAUAUUCAUUAUCUGCGCUUGGUCUAAUCUGAACCAAGGCUGCAACAUGCAAUAUAGCAUGACCCCAUAUAGAAAUUGGGAGUUUUGUUCUCAAUAUUAACGGUCUUGCAAUGAGUUACAACCGUUUAAUUAAUGAUUCGGUCAUGCCAUUUUGUGUAUGAACAUGAGGGACCGGAUGCUCUACAUCGAUUCCCAUCGAUACACAAUAGUCAUUAAAGGUUUGUGAAGUAAAUUCCCCAGCAUUAUCAAGCCUGACUUUCUUUAUGGCAUAAUCAGGAAAUUGUGCCUUUAACCUGAUUAUUUGGGAAAUGAAUCUUGCGAAAGCCGUGUUUCGUGUAGUCAAAAGACAUACAUGUGACCAUCUACUUGAUGCGUCAAUUAAUACCACCAAAUAUCGAAACGGCCCGCACGGUGGGUGAAUUGGCCCACAUAUAUCACCAUGAAUUCUCGACAAGAAUUCAGGUCUUCCAUUCCCAAUUUUGUUUGGCGAUGGCCUUAUUAUGAUUUUUCCUUGAAAACAUGCUUUACAAGAAAACUCACCAGAUUUAUAUAUUUUCUGGUUUUUCAAUGGAUGGCCAUUAGAAUUUUGCACAAUUUUUCGCAUCAUGACUGAACCAGGAUGUCCAAGUCUUUCAUGCCAUAUCUUAAAUGUACUAGUAAACUCACUUGAGUGUACUGUGACACUCGAGUUUACUGUAACAUUUGAUGCGAUUAUAUUUAUUUUUGUGCAAUAUAAUCCGGAGGAUAACAUUGGCAAUUCUUCUAAUAUAUAUUGCCUCUCGGAUUUUAUGCAAAGAUAUUCAAUGCCAUCUUUAUUCAUAGUCUCUAUAUGAUAUCCAUUACUUCGAAUAUCUUUGAAACUUAUCAAGUUUCUAUGAGACUUAGGGGAAUAUAAUGCAUCAUUUACUUUAAAAUGAGUUCCCCUUGGCAUUGUAAAAUUGGCUUCGCCAAAGCCUAAUAUUAUCUUUGCAUGGCCAUUUAUAGCACUCACGCUUCUAGCGGAGUCUUUUAUUUCGAGAGAGGAGAAGUACUUUUUAUCUUUAAAGAUAGUGUGCGUAUAAGCACUGUCCGCCAGACAUAUAUCUUCAUCCUCAAUCUUGUAUUUUGACAUAGGCUAUCCAUAUGUCAUAACAUAUUUUCUGGAAUAAA